GACGAACGCUGGCGGCGUGCCUAAUACAUGCAAGUCGAGCGGAGGUCAGGGAGCUUGCUCUCUGACUUCAGCGGCGAACGGGUGAGUAACACGUGGGCAACCUGCCCGCAAGACCGGGAUAACUCCGGGAAACCGGAGCUAAUACCGGAUAGGACUUCCGAUCGCAUGAUCGGGAGCGGAAAGGCGGCCUUUGGCUGUCACUUGCGGAUGGGCCCGCGGCGCAUGAGCUAGUUGGUGGGGUAAUGGCCUACCAAGGCGACGAUGCGUAGCCGACCUGGGAGGGUGACCGGCCACACUGGAACUGACACACGGCCCAGACUCCGACGGGAGGCAGCAGUAGGGAAUUUUCCGCAAGGGGCGCAAGCCUGACGGAGCAACGCCGCGUGAGUGAGGACGGCUUUCGGGUUGUAAAGCUCUGUUCUUCGGGAGGAAUGGCGGGAGGCUGAAGAAGCCUUUUCGCGUGACGGUACCGGAGAAGAAAGCCCCGGCUAACUACGUGCCAGCCGCCGCAGUAACAC
rnacentral:rRNA from 1 species